rnacentral:piRNA from 1 species
UUCCACUUUCAUGUAAGCAGAUACACCGA